GGCGACGUAGCCAAGAGGCUAAGGCGGCGGACUGCAAAUCCGCUAUUCCCGGGUUCGAAUCCCGGCGUCGCCU
rnacentral:tRNA from 1 species